UACAGAGGGGGCAAGCGUUGUUCGGAAUUACUGGGCGUAAAGGGCGCGUAGGCGGCCGCCUAAGUCAGACGUGAAAUCCCUCGGCUCAACCGGGGAACUGCGUCUGAUACUGGGUGGCUUGAAUUCGGGAGAGGGAUGCGGAAUUCCAGGUGUAGCGGUGAAAUGCGUAGAUAUCUGGAGGAACACCGGUGGCGAAGGCGGCAUCCUGGACCGAGAUGACGCUGAGGCGCGAAAGCCAGGGAGCAAAGCGGGAUUAGAUGA
rnacentral:rRNA from 1 species